AUGAAAGCCUGCUCAGCCCCGGGGCUGGAUGGCCUUCCGGUAGUCUUCUUUCAGAAAUUCUGGGAGAUCUUGCGCCCGAUCAUUAUGCCCAUGUUCCACGAGUUUUAUAUUGGAACCUUGGACAUGGCUAGGAUUAACUUCGGUGUCAUAUCCCUGAUCCCCAAAGUAGUUGGGGCGACGGAUAUCCGCCAAUUCCGACCGAUCACGGUGAUCAACGUGUUGGAGCGAAUCUUUGCAAAGGUUUGUGCCACUCGUUUAUCACCGGUGGCGGAAAGGAUUGCUCACCCCCUUCAGUCCGCCUUCCUGAAGGGCCGGCGGAUCCAUGAUGGAUGCUUGCCCUUCACGAGAUCGUUCACGAGGUGGCGUCGAAGGGGCUCAAGGGGGUUUUCCUCAAAUUGGACUUCCAGAAGGCGUAUGAUCGUCUGGAUUGGUCCUUUUUGA
rnacentral:rRNA from 1 species